GUUUGGAAAUGGUAAAGGUGAUCAUGUGUUGCGAGGCCCUCGAAAUGCCCAAGUCCGCACCUGGACACCCAAAAAAAAAUUUUGCGUGGAGGGUUUUUUAGGGGAGACCAUUUUUGCCUUCGUGGCGGUCUCCAAACCACGGGUGAAUUAAAUUAUUCCUAGCUUCCGAUGUGCCUUUAAAGAUGGGGAAGCUAGGAAGGGCUAGAUGUUAGUAAGGGGUUAAUAUUUAGGUUUUGGUAGGCACUUGUUGCGGGUAACACUUGUCAUUGUUAGCCAUGCCUUGUUAGUAAUGUUAGAAUUGUUCUUGAUAUGCAGGCUAAUUAAAAUGCCUGUGAUGUUGGUUGGUGGCUGGCAAAAGAUCUGUCUCGUGGUGUUUAGUAUUGCCUGGGAAUGGUGGCCAGGACUUAUAUUUCGGCAAAUACAUUACCGGUGGGAGAGUGUCGGGGCAGCCAAAAUUCUUGCAGUGAGCCCAUAUUACAUUCCAAGGAAAGUGAUGUGUGUUCACGAGAAAUAUGGCCGGCUCCGAUACUCCGCCACCAGAAAAACCGCUGAAAAGAAAAAAAAAGAAAUAAUUAAUAAAUAUAAAAUGGUUUAAUUUUAGAAAUAUAAAAAUAAAUUGGAACGACUCAAGCUUAUACUACCACCGCCAAAUACUAAUGCCAAAAACAAUGACAGUUGUCAGAUGGCUAUGAAUGGCAUUCACUACGAAGUGAUAACCCAAAUGGAAUUGGUAAUGGAACUUAAGCAAAGUAGAGACGGUGUUGCCGAUGUGGAGUUAAAUACUCUUAGAUAGCAGUCGCGAGAAAAAUUGUGACUCUUAAUUUUUUUUGGGCAAAUAUGAGUAUGAAAGUUUCACUAGACAGAGACCAUUUCUUUAAUUUAGAUAAGGAUAACUGGUGUCUAAUGAACAAAAUGUCCAUCAGUGGAAAGCUACAACGGCGCACUGAAAAGGUUAUAAAAGAGAGUAGCCAAUGAAGAGAGGUUAAUAGUUAGAAAAUUGGUGCUGAACGAGAAAAAACGUUCAUACUGAAAAUUGGAAGUUCAGUGAAAAAUAUUCAUGACUAUUAAGAUAUUAAAUUGAAAAAAGAACUACAAAUUUAAAUAAAAGGUUUGCUUGGAGGAUUGUGUGAUUUUUGUUGGUCUUUGCGGUGAACCCAGUGGAUAAAUUAAUUAAUAAGUGUGAGGCGAAAGCCAUUGAGGCCAGCCACGUUUACACACGACAGCGCAACAACGAAAGAAAAGCGCUAUCUCUUGGGUGAAGACCAAACAUCACAAACAUUAUCCCGGUAUUGCGAAGGUAGGAAAAUAUAAUUUCCCAACUUUUUAUAGCACCAGUAUAUCUGCCCCACCGCCAUCUACGGGACAGUGGCUAUACAAGCAUUCCACGUGAUCUCGGUUCAGCACCACUUUAUUCCUAUAAAGAAAAAAUUGGCUGUGUUAAUGAUCCAAGACACAAUAGGAUCCACACAUAUAUCGACAAACUGUCAUAAUUUUACAGUGUUUCCAAGGUGGAAGAUUUUUGCGAUUACCACGAUUGGUGCAGAAGAUAAGAAAAAGCCUGGAAACAAAAUUCUAAGUGGCGCAAGUAGUAAAAUUAAUGAAUAAGAAGUUGGCGUCACUAUUCUUAACUACAAUUUUCAUCUAAAAACAAUUUUUAUUGACCUAAUAUUAAAAUUUUUUUAUCACAUUUAAAAAUCAAAAAUUAUUCCUAUUAUUCCUGUCAAAAUAUUAUUCAUAUUUAGAUUUAGUUAUUUGUAUUGACUUAUUUUAUUAGUAUUAUUAUUUAUGUUUAUUUGUUUGUUACGUGUCUAAAUUUUCUUUUUUCAGCAUUCUCAAAGCUAAGGUUUCAAUAUAGUUUUUUUUUUGUUCCCCAUUAAAUUUCUUCGCAACAGAGCUCUUUUGUCGAGGUUAUUAGGGUGGGUUUGAAAGUGUUAAAAGUAUAUAUAUUAAAAACCACGUUCAUUGUGGAUUCGGAAAAAAAAUAGCUUUGCGAGUGUAAUUUCAGUCUUGUCUAUUAAUGUUCAUGGAAUUGGACAUGAAAUAAACCUUUUUUGAGGUAAAAGAUUCAUGGUCAAAAGACCGUUCGUUAUUUAAUUUGGCAAAUAGCCGUUAAAAUUUAAAAUUUCCUAACAACCCUUUAGCAAGAAUAAAACAACUAUUUAAAUUUUUAUGUGAUAAUUUUUUUUUAGAUAUUUAUUGUAUUUUUAUUGUUGUAAGUUUUUUUUUAUUAAGCAUAAACGACUUCUUGUUAGGAUUAGUAAUUCUUUUAAAUAAUAAUAAAAAAUGAUUUGAAUGUUUGUCAAGAUUAAAAAGAUGAUGUGUUAAGUUAGCUAAAGAGGAAUUAAGGACGAGGUAAG